GGUCGCCCAAACGAGUGGCUCUCACGCUCAGCCAAAACGGUUUGAUUCUUUAUUAUUUCUUUGGACUUUAUUACUAUUGUUUGGUUUACUUAUUUGGUUUCAAUACCGAUUGGGAAUUUUCUUUUCCUCUCCACAAUUCAUUCUCAAUGUGGUCGAUCUUUAUGUUUCUUCAAUGGCGACGAUCGGUAACGCAUCUUUGGUUGAGAUCUUUGAUAGUCUUUGAUUCUUUCGCCACGACUUUUCUCAUUCGAGUGAAUAGGAACCACCAUUAAAGGGUUGUGUGGAAACCAUCGGAGAGCCCAACCACUCACCCAACUAUGGCUUUAGGACGACUGCUCAGGCAAGGCGAUUCCCAGGCGGACACGGAGGCUCUGACCCACGAUCGCUGGUUGGAUGUUCUUAUUUUCCCUUUCUUUCUCAGAUACCAAGAAGUUCUUCGUUCUUUGUGGGUUCUUACUGUGUUGCAAAAAUUGCACCACGCGCGAGGGGACUGCAAUUCGGUGCUUCAAGGAUGGCUCAUUGCGUUAGUCAGUCGGUGACAAUUCUGCGGCAUCUCUUAUUAGCGCAUGAGAUUGAAUUCUUCUUUGCAUAUGAAAUUGUCCAGAUGCUCGAAUUCUGUUUGUUCAAUUUGGUUCAAUUCAAGUGGUAUUUGGUUACCCUUGUCACAAAUUCCUUUUAUAAGCAUGAUAGAUGAUGGAUUGGAUUGGUUCCGACAUGGCUCUUCUCUCACGAUUGGGUUUUGCAUGUUCCUUUUUUACCCGAUACCUCUUAUUCGGUGAAAGUGUCUCACAUUUGGCUUAUCUGUUUGGUUGGUAAUGCAUAUUUUGCUCCUUCGAUGUGAAAUAGGGUUUUCACAACGUGUUGGACUGUCGUGUCUACCACAAUGAAGAGGAGUACUGGUAGCCCGGGAGUGCUAUUGCUUAUGAAAUUUUGUUAGUCACAUCACUGGUAACACUUCUACAAACGGCACCCUUGUACCUUUCUUUGGUUGUUUGAUAUUCCUCAAAUAGGGUCUGGAACUACACAAUUGUUUUCUCUAUAACACGAGCACUAGAGAUGGAUAUGUGUAUAAUUUUUGUCCUUGGUUUAUUCUUUUGUAUGUUUGGAGUGCCCAUUUCCAUUUGUACUGCCGGGUAUGUUCUGCUAGCUUACUUUUAUUGGAAUAUGCUACGGGGUCAUGACCUUCAUACUUGCGCAAGCAUAUGGAAGUAUUCUUUUAUUAUGUUUAUAAGGAUUUUGUUUCCUUAUGAUGAAAGUUGGCUGAUCAUUUUUUGGUUUUUAAAUGUUAAAAUCUAUUAAAGGUUCAAAGGAUUACUUAAAUACGAUUUACAGAGCAUUUUAGUAGUUUUAGUCUACAUACAUUGCUAUUAUUUGUGUAUGUUAGUGAGGCUUGAUUGUUACAUCAUGAUAGACUAUGCCAGUAUUAGAUACGAGAUUGAAUGGAUGUAUGCUAUAUUUAGUAUUAUAUGGCUAAGUACUCUAUCUCUAUCAGUACAUGGUGUUUUUGUUUGGCAUGCAUAUGAAUCUAAUAUACGAUUUGUAUGCUACUAUUUGAUUGUGUCACCUUGUUGGUUUGAGAUGAAUCCUACUGCUUCUGUUUCUAUGUUAUUAUGGAUGAAUGUUUUAGAUACUGAGGUAUGGAAAUGAUUUCAUUGGCUGAAUGCUCUGUUUCUCGAUGUAUAUUGGACAUUGGAGUUUCAUUGGGUACCUGAUAUAAUUACUAAUAUGCGUGGCUUAUUAAGGUGUGCUCGAUUGAAAUGAUUUCCUUUUUGUCCUAUGCUUGUGCAACUAUUUAGUUGUGUACUGUGGUAUUGUUCUGUUACCUUAUGGAAUCAGCGUGCCCCACAAUACCCGGAUUCCGUCCAUACUGGAUUGGAAUUCUUUAGUCAUUUGGGAUACCCCUGGGAUACCCCGGUGCGAGGUUUAAUUGGUCAUAGGUGGAAAGGCUAUACUGUUGUACAAUGACACGUGUCAUAUAUGGAGAUGGAUGCUAGCUAUUCAUAUUGGAUUUAUAGUGUACAGGAUAUACCUCUUGUGGGACAAAGCAGUCGACUUGUUUGGCAAAAGCUUUAUUUCAUGCCAGUUCCAAAGGGAUCUGUUAGUUUGGAAAAACAGACGAUCUAGCUUUAUUGUGGAGCCACCUUUGGAGAGCUGGGUUCUGCGGAUGUUUCUUGUAGGAUGCUUGGGCAAGUAUACAUGAUUUGUCGCAUGCUUGAGGAACCCUGGAUUUACAUGAAAAGUGUUUUUAUAUGUUUUUAUCUUUGAUUGGGUUGUAAUAAUUUUAUUUCAUUGGUUCGGUUUAAUUGAUUGGGCUGUAAUAAGUUAAAUUUAGUUGAUAGCCAUAUAUGUUGUAA